CCCUCCCUCUUUCUUCAUGCCUAACACAUGCAAGUCGAACGAUACCUUCGGGUCUAGUGGCGCACGGGUGCGUAACGCGUGGGAACCUGCCCUUAGGUUCGGAAUAACUCCCCGAAAGGGGUGCUAAUACCGGAUAAUGUCUUCGGACCAAAGAUUUAUCGCCUUUGGAUGGGCCCGCGUUGGAUUAGCUAGUUGGUAGGGUAAAAGCCUACCAAGGCGACGAUCCAUAGCUGGUCUGAGAGGAUGAUCAGCCACACUGGGACUGAGACACGGCCCAGACUCCUACGGGAGGCAGAAGUGGGGAAUAUUGGACAAUGGGCGAAAGCCUGAUCCAGCAAUGCCGCGUGAGUGAUGAAGGCCUUAGGGUUGUAAAGCUCUUUUACCCGGGAUGAUAAUGACAGUACCGGGAGAAUAAGCGCCGGCUAACUCCGUG
rnacentral:rRNA from 1 species